CUCUGCAAAUUUACCUUGCUCUAAGUGCCAUUUUCUCAAUUUGUUACUCCUAAGUGUAAUGUUCCAAGUGCAAGUGCAUCUCGUACCAUCAUGUUUGAUCCUGAUAAAAUAAUACAGUGUCAACUGUGUCACAACUGUGUCUCGUCAGUUGUCUCGUCAGUUUGUGGAAAAGAGAAAUGCAUCGAAGACCACGCGUGAAAUAAUCUACGCACAAACAUAAACCCGGCUGGACCACCGACAAUGUGUGUACGCGGAACAAUGUGUUCGACGGAUGCCACUACCGCCACCAACGCAGACCUCACACACAGCCAACGCUGCAUAGCGCCAGGAAUGCACGAAUAGGUAGGGAAGUGAAACCGUGAAAUAGACGAGUGAGCGAAAGAGACACA